AAAAAAAUGAAAAAAACUGACCGGUAUAUAUUAUUAAUUAUAUGAAUUAUCAUAUAUGUAUGUUCUAAUUAAAAAGAUUAAAAAAAAAUUGCAUGUGAGUAUUUGCAAAUGAAAAGAAAAAAAAAAUUAAUUGGGUUUGAUUUUGAUUAUUUGAUAAUCCCAUAGUGUCCUAGUUUAUAUAAUAAUCCCUAACUUACCUCAUUUCUCAUUUAUUCUUGUUGUGAAAUAGCUUGUGAAAUCAUGUCUCAAUUGUAUUUUUUUAUUGUCUAUGUGCCACCUUAAUUUUAUCGUUGAUGCAUGCUUGUGCUUUCAAUGAUUCUGGAUUCAAAUAAGAUCGUGUGUUGAAAAUUUUGAGCAAGUCUAUAUUCUAUGAUGGCCUUUCAAGCCUAGACCAAACUAAACUUUCAGUAAAAUAGUUGCUUAUGGGAUUAAACUUAGUGCCUUCAAGACUAAUUGCGACUUUGAGAAUAAGAUGUUGACGAAAUGAAUCUUGCUUUCUCAUAAAUACAUGUGCAUGAACUUCAAAAGCUUGCCUCUUUUCCACCUGACAGGCAGCUUUCAAUGAUGCUGUG
rnacentral:misc_RNA from 1 species